rnacentral:lncRNA from 1 species
CGAUAGAAAAAAAAACGAAGGCCAUCGCUAUAAACUUACUGCCGUCCCUAAAUAAAAGCGAUGGCGGCAAAUUACAGUUAAAAAUUCGUGAUCUCCAUGGAUUUUAUAUGGUGAUUUUGACAGCGCGUUUCGAAGUCAUUUUUGUAAAUUUUCUUAAAAAUUUCUUGAAGCUCGAUGUUUAAUGUUUUUAAAAAUGACAGGCAUUUAAGAGAGAAUGAUGCGAAUAUUGGAAAACCAUUCAAAAACUCGCCGAACUAAUUUCGGUCAAAUUCAAAAGAUCGUUAUAUAGUAUAGGCGAUAACAGUAAACGGAAGCGAGAACAAAUUUGAGUAGCACUUCGAGACAUUAUCGACAUAGAUCAGAAGAUCAUUAUAAAUAUUUCAUUCGAAAGUUCUCAUACACAUUGAAAAUCAUGAACGUUGGCUGCGUUUAUGUACAAAAUAUGGCGAAUGCCAUAAAUAUCGAUAUAAGGAUAAUGACCAAGUGUUAAAUGAGGAUUUAUAUCAAAGAUAUCUGCCACAACCGUAAAAAAUAAUUAGCCAUUCCGGUUGCAGCUGAUUUUAUGAAUUACGGUUUUCUAACUUACUCUCGAGAUUGAGUGAAAACUGAACAACAUUCAUGAACUCCCCAAACUAAUUUUCGUCGUCGGUCAAUUUCAGAAGAUCGUUAUACGGGUAACAAUAGUAAUAAGGAGCGAGAACAGAAAAGUCGGGUGUGAAUAAGAAUUUCCUUGUUUUAAAAGUUAAAACUAAUUUAUCCAAAUAAUAUAUUUGUACCUUUAUUUAUAAAUAUUUAAGAUAAUAUGAAAAUAUAACAUUGUUUUAAUGCUCUAC